rnacentral:rRNA from 1 species
AUUGAACGCUGGCGGCAGGCCUAACACAUGCAAGUCGAACGGUAGCACAGAGAGCUUGCUCUCGGGUGACGAGUGGCGGACGGGUGAGUAACGUCUGGGAAACUGCCCGAUGGAGGGGGAUAACUACUGGAAACGGUAGCUAAUACCGCAUAACGUCGCAAGACCAAAGUGGGGGACCUUCGGGCCUCACACCAUCGGAUGUGCCCAGAUGGGAUUAGCUAGUAGGCGGGGUAAUGGCUCACCUAGGCGACGAUCCCUAGCUGGUCUGAGAGAUGACCAGCCACACUGGAACUGAGACACGGUCCAGACUCCUACGGGAGGCAGCAGUGGGGAAUAUUGCACAAUGGGCGCAAGCCUGAUGCAGCCAUGCCGCGUGUAUGAAGAAGGCCUUCGGGUUGUAAAGUACUUUCAGCGGGGAGGAAGGCGGUGAAGUUAAUAACUUCACCGAUUGACGUUACCCGCAGAAGAAGCACCGGCUAACUCCGUGCCAGCAGCCGCCGUAA